UUGAUCAGGUGGAAGAGAAAGUGCUCCAUGCACUGACACCGGCCCCGAUGACACGACUGGACCUACCCCGACAGUGCUUGUUCAAUCAGCAGCCGAGGAGAUAGAACUGCCCUUGGUGCUUAAAAUGGUGUCGCUGAACUGGACAGACAUGCCAUGGACCAACGGAGGUCCGUCUUAGAUCGAUGCAGGUGCAUGGAAAGCAUCUAGCUGGUCUGCUCCCAACACUAGACAUGAACUCACACUCAGUUAUCUCUCAAGAAAGACCAAAUGAUGCUAGACUAUAUUGCUUUUUGUAGUAUAAAUUUUUAUGGGAGGAAUCUGAUUCCAACCAACAAACAAAAAAAGGCUCGGUCCUUCAUAUGAGGAGAAGGAUACAUUCAAGGAGGUCCUGCACAAUACACCGGUAUCUGGAGGUGGAGAGCAUUCAGUUAAUCGUGCCAUACGUGGUGUAGUUCGUGUAAGAGAGGGAUCAUACCGAUGUAAGCUUUGUGUGGGAGUAGCUACUGUUCGAGGUGCUCACGAAGACAUUCCUCAUGAUGUUGGACUAAAACUGCUCUGAAUACUAUAUGUACUCUGUUGUUUUACUUUAUCACAUUCAUGUCUUGA